GCCACCUAAAUUUCCUUGGAGAUACCUGAAGUAUCAAAACCAUGUUGCUACACCACUUUUUUUCCCUAAAGAAUACUUUGUGCUAUCGCUAGUUUGAAAGGAAAUAAGUUGUUUUGGUCUUACUAGGAGCACUUUGAUCAAAAUCAGCACUCUGUUUAUUCUUCUUUUAUGAAAACCAAGGAAUCUGAGUUUCAAAUUGUUUUGCUUUUAUUUUUGUUUACAGACAAACACACUCUUGGCUUUCCAACUUGGAGAAAUAAUUCAAGUCCAACUAUCUGCUCUGUGCUAACAAGAAUUCACUUGUGAAUCUAUCAGGACCUGGGAUUUUCUUUGAUGAGCGUCCCAUGGCCAAGAGAGUGGCGGUGAUUGGAGCCGGGGUGAGCGGCCUGUCCUCCAUCAAAUGCUGCUUGGAUGAGGACCUGGAGCCCACCUGCUUUGAGAGAAGCGACGACUUCGGGGGAAUGUGGAA